rnacentral:rRNA from 1 species
UACAGGGGGUGCAAACGUUGCUCGGAAUCAUUGGGCGUAAAGAGCGUGUAGGCGGCUUGGUAGGUCCGCUGUGAAAACUCGAGGCUCAACCUCGAGAUGUCGGCGGAAACCACUUGGCUAGAGUCCGGAAGAGGAGAGUGGAAUUCCUGGUGUAGCGGUGAAAUGCGCAGAUAUCAGGAAGAACACCUAUGGCGAAGGCAGCUCUCUGGGACGGUACUGACGCUGAGACGCGAAAGCGUGGGGAGCGAACAGG